ACGCUGUAGAGAUGCAUAC
rnacentral:snRNA from 1 species